rnacentral:rRNA from 1 species
GACGAACGCUGGCGGCGUGCUUAACACAUGCAAGUCGAACGGAAAGGCCUCUUUCGGGGGGUACUCGAGUGGCGAACGGGUGAGUAACACGUGAGUAACCUGCCCUUGACUUUGGGAUAACUUCAGGAAACUGGGGCUAAUACCGGAUAGGAGCUCCUGCUGCAUGGUGGGGGUUGGAAAGUUUCGGCGGUUGGGGAUGGACUCGCGGCUUAUCAGCUUGUUGGUGGGGUAGUGGCUUACCAAGGCUUUGACGGGUAGCCGGCCUGAGAGGGUGACCGGCCACAUUGGGACUGAGAUACGGCCCAGACGCCUACGGGGGGCAGCAGGGGGGAAUAUUGCACAAUGGGUGGGAGCCUGAUGCAGCAACGCCGUGUGCGGGAUGACGGGCUUCGGGUUGUAAACCGCUUUCGCUCAUGACGAAGCUUUGUGUGACGGUAGUGGGUAAAGAAGCACCGGCUAACUACGUG